rnacentral:rRNA from 1 species
AUCAAUAAGCGGAGGAAAAGAAAAUAACAAUGAUUUCCCCAGUAACGGCGAGUGAAGAGGAAAGAGCUCAAAGUUGGAACCUGUUUGGCUUAGCUAAACCGGAUUGUAAACUGUAGAAGUGUUUUCCUGACACGCCUGGUAAAAAAGUCCUUUGGAACAGGGCAUCAUAGAGGGUGAGAAUCCCGUCUUUGGCCAGAGCUGUUGUCUUUUGUGAUACAUUUUCAAAGAGUCAGGUUGUUUGGGAAUGCAGCCUAAAUUGGGUGGUAAAUCUCACCUAAAGCUAAAUAUUUGCGAGAGACCGAUAGCGAACAAGUACCGUGAGGGAAAGAUGAAAAGAACUUUGAAAAGAGAGUUAAACAGUAUGUGAAAUUGUUAAAAGGGAACCGUUUGGAGCCAGACUGGCUUGACUGUAAUCAAUCUAGGCUUCGGCCUGGAUGCACUUGCGGUCUAUGCCUGCCAACGACAGUUUUAUUUGGGGGAAAAAAUUAUUGGGAAUGUGGCCUUUCGAGGUGUUAUAGCCCUUUAAAAAAUACCCUGGAUUGGACUGAGGAACGCAGUGAAUGCCUUUAGGCAAGAUUGCUGGGUGCUUUCGCUAAUAAAUGCUAGAAUUUCUGCUUCGGGUGGUGCUAGUGUUUAAAGGUGGAACUCGCUUAGUAUAUUUUUUAUUCGCUUAGGUUGUUGGCUUAAUGACUCUAAAUGAC